AACGCUAAUAUUCCGCUUGGAAUUCUGCGGAGUUAUCGGUUUGUUUUCGUGUGGAUUUCCUUGAAGAAAAAUCCACGGUAUUUUCUUGCAACAUAUCUGAGACCAUUCCCUGGAAAUUGAUUCAAAAUUUCCUUUAAAUAUUCCGAGUACAAUUUCCUUUCCAUUUCCGGCUAAGAAUCCAUGGAAUUGUACGCAAAUUUUCCUUUUAAUUUCUUUGAGGCCUCGAAAAAGUGAAUAGAGGCCUCGAAAAAGUCACCUUUUUCAGUUCCACGCGUGCAGUGAAAGUGAAAAGUAGUGCUCCCGCAAGGAAUUUACUGAUUUUUGAGUUUGUUUUUCAUACCCCCACACAACAAAAAUGGCCGUUGAGAUGGUGGACCUCGAAAUGGCUUCCUCAUCAACACUACGUCCUGCGAGACCAAGUUUCCCAAUAUUUGAUAUGGCGGGCCUUCUAGAGGUCAACAAGUCAUGGCAGCACGAUUUGACGUCAAGGAAU